rnacentral:rRNA from 1 species
GACGAACGCUGGCGGCGUGCUUAACACAUGCAAGUCGAACGGAAAGGCCCUGCUUUUGUGGGGUGCUCGAGUGGCGAACGGGUGAGUAACACGUGAGUAACCUGCCCUUGACUUUGGGAUAACUUCAGGAAACUGGGGCUAAUACCGGAUAGGAGCUCCUGCUGCAGGGUGGGGGUUGGAAAGUUUCGGCGGUUGGGGAUGGACUCGCGGCUUAUCAGCUUGUUGGUGGGGUAGUGGCUUACCAAGGCUUUGACGGGUAGCCGGCCUGAGAGGGUGACCGGCCACAAUGGUACUGAGAUACGGCCCAGACUCCUACGGGAGGCAGCAGUGGCAAAUAUGACACAAUGGGCGCAAGCCUGAUGCAGCAACGCCGCGUGCGGAAUGACGGCCUUCGGGUUGUAAACCGCUUUCGCCUGUGACGAAGCGGGAGUGACGGUAAUGAGUAAAGAAGCACCGGCUAACUACGUG